AACGAACGCUGGCGGCAGGCCUAACACAUGCAAGUCGAACGCCGUAGCAAUACGGAGUGGCAGACGGGUGAGUAACACGUGGGAACAUACCCCUCGGUUCGGAAUAACUCAGGGAAACUUGAGCUAAUACCGGAUACGUCCGCGAGGAGAAACGAUUCAUCGCCGGAGGAUUGGCCCGCGUCUGAUUAGCUUGUGGUGAGGUAACGGCUCACCAAGGCGACGAUCAGUAGCNGGUCUGAGAGGAUGAUCAGCCACAUUGGGACUGAGACACGG
rnacentral:rRNA from 1 species